GCAAACUUGGUCAUUUAGAGGAAGUAAAAGUCGUAACAAGGUUUCCGUAGGUGAACCUGCGGAAGGAUCAUUAAAAAUUGAUUUGGUCGAUGUAGACCUAAAAUCUGAACUUGUGUUAAUAGUGGGACGACUUUGGGUUUAAAGAUGGAAUUGUGCAUCUCUAGUAGAUUGAUGGAAGUCAAUGAUUUUAUUAUUGAUGGAAAUGGAUUGAAGGAACCACAACCGACCCAAAGGAAUGAAAAACUCUUUAUGAUUAUGAACUGAUUAUCAAGUAAAAUAAUUCAAUUUUUUUGGAUUAAAAAAGUUUUAAAUAACUUUCAACAACGGAUCUCUUGGUUCUCGCAUCGAUGAAGAACGCAGC
rnacentral:misc_RNA from 1 species